GUAAAUAUAGUUCAAUGGUAGAACGUAUGUUUUUAGGUAUAUAUAAUUUGAGUUCAAAUCUCAAUAUUUACA
rnacentral:tRNA from 1 species